rnacentral:lncRNA from 10 species
CCUGCAGGGAGGAGGCCAGAAGAAUAAAUUUCCUACCUCCCUCUGCUCCCGUCCCCAAUCUCCUGCCAGCUCUCUUCUGACACAGCCCACACAGGUCAACCUCCUGAGAAGAAGGACACAUGCCUUGGGAUCCCUGACCACCAAUAAGAAAUGCUUCCAUGAAGCCGCCAUGCUGGAGAGACCACAUGGGGAUAGAGAGAGAUGCCCAGGUGUUCCAACCCCUUGACAUAUGAGAGAUGAGCAGUCAGAAGAUUCUCGUUGCCAGCCAAUGCCCAGUGGAACAGGGAUGAGCUGUUCUUGUGCAGACUACACAUCCAUAAACAAAUAAAGGGCACAGGUUCUGAUGCUGACAGCCUGGGCGUGAAUCUCUAUUCCUCUGUGUGACUUUUGGGCAAGUGACUUCACCUCCAUGAGUUUCAAUUUCCCCAUGUGCAAAAUGCCAUAGAAUUGUGAAGGUUAAUUGAGUUCGUCUAUGUAAAGUGUUUAGCAGAGUGCCUGAACUGGUUCAAUUUUUGUUUAAUGUCAGCAAUUCUUUACUCAUCAUAGCCACUGGUUUUGCUUCAAGCAAGUUCUUCCCAUUAUCAGUGUCCCAAUCUCACUGUGAUAAAUAAAGGGUUUGAA